GAUGAAGAACGUAGCGAAAUGCGAUAAGUAGUGUGAAUUGCAGAAUUCAGUGAAUCAUCGAAUCUUUGAACGCACAUUGCGCCCUUUGGUAUUCCUUAGGGCAUGCCUGUUCGAGCGUCAUUUAAACCUUCAAGCUAAGCUUGGUGUUGGGUGACUGUCCGCUUCACUGCGGACUCGCCUCAAAAUUAUUGGCGGCCGGUACAUUGGCUUCGAGCGCAGCAGAAACGCGAACUCGGGCCCGUCGUAUUGGCUCCCAGAAGCUAUCUUCACAAUUUUGACCUCGGAUCAGGUAGGGAUACCCGCUGAACUUAAGCAUAUCAAUAAGCGAAGGA
rnacentral:misc_RNA from 1 species